UCUGCCUGCGGCAGUUCUCAACCUGCUUGCCGGAGAGGAGCCAAGGAAACUGCUCUUCCUACUUCCUCCUGCUUCAGAAGGUCAGGGCAGCUGGCCUUUCCCAAGCACCUCUGUGGACCCGGCCCAGCACUGUUCCCGAGAGCUCCCAGACUACAACCAAGUGAGAGCGUUAACUGACAACGCCCAGCCUCACUUCAUCCACACUAUGGCCCCACCAGAUGCCUCCAUUCUGCCUAUUUUUCACUCAACUAAUCAGAGCCAGGAUUUGAACCCAGAUCUGUGUGACUUCUUGUCUGGUGCUCUUCCACCCCAUUCCUGCCACGUGUGUGGCCAGGACACUGGGAGACCUGUAGGAGCUCAGCAGAGAGUUUCCUGGGGAUAGUUGUGGAGCCUUGCAGGAGGGCAGGCCAUGUCUGCAUGGGUUCUUUCAUUCAUUAAGUGCCAUGUGCUGGCACACCAGUGGUGGACAAAGCUAGCGUGAGCUCUCCCCAACUCUGAUAGGCAGAGAGGACAGAGUGGGUGCCAGCUGGAAGGGGAGCAAGGGGCAAAGGCACCUGCCCACUGUUGUGUGCCUGGGGAGCAGUUUGGAGGAAUGAGGCCAGG
rnacentral:lncRNA from 1 species